UACGGGGGGGGCAAGCGUUGUUCGGAAUUACUGGGCGUAAAGGGCUCGUAGGCGGCCAACUAAGUCAGACGUGAAAUCCCUCGGCUUAACCUGGGAACUGCGUCUGAUACUGGAAGGCUUGAGUAUGGGAGAGGGAUGUAGAAUUCCAGGUGUAGCGGUGAAAUGCGUAGAUAUCUGGAGGAACACCGGUGGCGAAGGCGGCAUCCUGGACCGAGAUUGACGCUGAUGCGCGAAAGCCAGGGGAGCAAACGGG
rnacentral:rRNA from 1 species